GGGGGUAUAGCCCAGUAGUAGAGCACAUACUUGGCAUGCAUGGGGUCCUAGGUUCAAUCCCCAGCGCCUCUG
rnacentral:tRNA from 1 species